AACAACUGAGAGAACGAGAGAUUAACGGCAUCAGAUCCCAUCUGAUCUUGGAAGCUAAGCAGGUUCAGCUCUGGUUAGUACUUGAAUGAGAGACUGCCGACGAAUACCUGGUGCUGUAGACU
rnacentral:rRNA from 11 species